UUAUUACUCCCUCCGUCCGGAAAUACUAGAUAUCAAAAUGAAUAAAAGGAGAUGUAUCUAGACGUAUUUUAGUUAUAGAUACAUCCCUUUUUAUCCAUUUUGAUGAUAUAAGUAUUUUUGGACGAAGGGAGUACUUG
rfam:Triticum aestivum genome assembly, contig: Triticum_aestivum_CS42_TGACv1_scaffold_049359_1BS